UACGGAGGGAGCUAGCGUUGUUCGGAAUUACUGGGCGUAAAGCGCACGUAGGCGGCUUUGUAAGUUAGAGGUGAAAGCCCGGGGCUCAACUCCGGAACUGCCUUUAAGACUGCAUCGCUUGAAUCCAGGAGAGGUGAGUGGAAUUCCGAGUGUAGAGGUGAAAUUCGUAGAUAUUCGGAAGAACACCAGUGGCGAAGGCGGCUCACUGGACUGGUAUUGACGCUGAGGUGCGAAAGCGUGGGGAGCGAACAGG
rnacentral:rRNA from 1 species